rnacentral:rRNA from 1 species
GACGAACGCUGGCGGCGUGCUUAACACAUGCAAGUCGAACGGUAAGGCCUUCGGGUACACGAGUGGCGAACGGGUGAGUAACACGUGGGUGAUCUGCCCCCUACUCUGGGAUAAGCCUGGGAAACUGGGUCUAAUACCGGAUAUGACCUCCUUCUGCAUGGUUGGUGGUGGAAAGUUUUUUCGGUAGGGGAUGAGCCCGCGGCCUAUCAGCUUGUUGGUGGGGUAAUGGCCUACCAAGGCGACGACGGGUAGCCGGCCUGAGAGGGCGACCGGCCACACUGGGACUGAGACACGGCCCAGACUCCUACGGGAGGCAGCAGUGGGGAAUAUUGCACAAUGGGCGAAAGCCUGAUGCAGCGACGCCGCGUGGGGGAUGACGGCCUUCGGGUUGUAAACCCCUUUCAGUCGGGACGAAGCGAGAGUGACGGUACCGAUAGAAGAAGCACCGGCCAACUACGUGCCAGCAGCCGCCGUAACAC